rnacentral:RNase_P_RNA from 1 species
GGAGGAGAUCAGAUGAUCGCCUGAACAGACGUUCGGGAGGAAAGUCCGGACUCCAUAGGGUAGGGUGCUGGGUAACGCCCAGGCGGAGCGAUCCGACACCGGCGCCACAGAAAAUACACCGCCGAUGGCCGCCACAGAGCACGCUUUGCUGGCGGCACAGGUAAGGGUGAAAUGGUGGAGUAAGAGCCCACCGCGGUCAUGGCGACAUGACCGGCAGGGUAAGCGUCGCCCGGAGCAAGGCCAAAUAGGAGGACAUGAGGAGUGGGCACCGGUGCCACUUCUCAACGGUUGUCCCGACCGAUGGUCCUCGGGUAGGCUGCACGAAGCUCGAGGUAACUCGCGCUCCAGAGAAAUGAUCAUCCUCGGUUCGGAUGAAAUCCGAGUCGGGACAGAAUCCGGCUUAUCGAUUUGCUCCAACG